rnacentral:rRNA from 2 species
GGGUUGUGAGGUUAAGCGACUAAGCGUACACGGUGGAUGCCCUGGCAGUCAGAGGCGAUGAAGGGCGUGCUAAUCUGCGAUAAGCGCCGGUAAGGUGAUAUGAACCGUUAUAACCGGCGAUACCCGAAUGGGGAAACCCAGUGUGACUCGUCACACUAUCAUUAACUGAAUCCAUAGGUUAAUGAGGCGAACCGGGGGAACUGAAACAUCUAAGUACCCCGAGGAAAAGAAAUCAACCGAGAUUCCCCCAGUAGCGGCGAGCGAACGGGGAGGAGCCCAGAGCCUGAAUCAGCAUGUGUGUUAGUGGAAGCGUCUGGAAAGGCGCGCGAUACAGGGUGACAGCCCCGUACACAAAAGCGCAUGUGCUGUGAGCUCGAUGAGUAGGGCGGGACACGUGGUAUCCUGUCUGAAUAUGGGGGGACCAUCCUCCAAGGCUAAAUACUCCUGACUGACCGAUAGUGAACCAGUACCGUGAGGGAAAGGCGAAAAGAACCCCGGGAGGGGAGUGAAAAAGAACCUGAAACCGUGUACGUACAAGCAGUGGGAGCCCCACCACCAAAGCAUUCUCUGGUGUUGAAGGCCCUGCAAAGCAGCAUCGCGGUGGCGGAGCGUCGUUUGCGACGCCCAACACACAAAACAAGCGGUGAAUGCUUUGGGGUGGGGUGACUGCGUACCUUUUGUAUAAUGGGUCAGCGACUUAUAUUCUGUAGCAAGGUUAACCGAAUAGGGGAGCCGGAGGGAAACCGAGUCUUAAUUGGGCGUUAAGUUGCAGGGUAUAGACCCGAAACCCGGUGAUCUAGCCAUGGGCAGGUUGAAGGUUGGGUAACACUAACUGGAGGACCGAACCGACUAAUGUUGAAAAAUUAGCGGAUGACCUGUGGCUGGGGGUGAAAGGCCAAUCAAACCGGGAGAUAGCUGGUUCUCCCCGAAAGCUAUUUAGGUAGCGCCUCGUGAAUUCAUCUCCGGGGGUAGAGCACUGUUUCGGCUAGGGGGCCAUCCCGGCUUACCAACCCGAUGCAAACUGCGAAUACCGGAGAAUGUUAUCACGGGAGACACACGGCGGGUGCUAACGUCCGUCGUGAAGAGGGAAACAACCCAGACCGCCAGCUAAGGUCCCAAAGUCAUGGUUAAGUGGGAAACGAUGUGGGAAGGCCCAGACAGCCAGGAUGUUGGCUUAGAAGCAGCCAUCAUUUAAAGAAAGCGUAAUAGCUCACUGGUCGAGUCGGCCUGCGCGGAAGAUGUAACGGGGCUAAACCAUGCACCGAAGCUGCGGCAGCGACGCUGAUGCGUUGUUGGGUAGGGGAGCGUUCUGUAAGCCUGCGAAGGUGACCUGUGAGGGUUGCUGGAGGUAUCAGAAGUGCGAAUGCUGACAUAAGUAACGAUAAAGCGGGUGAAAAGCCCGCUCGCCGGAAGACCAAGGGUUCCUGUCCAACGUUAAUCGGGGCAGGGUGAGUCGACCCCUAAGGCGAGGCCGAAAGGCGUAGUCGAUGGGAAACGGGUUAAUAUUCCCGUACUUGGUGUUACUGCGAAGGGGGGACGGAGAAGGCUAUGUUGGCCGGGCGACGGUUGUCCCGGUUUAAGCGUGUAGGUGUGUGUUCCAGGUAAAUCCGGUUCACUUUAACACUGAGGCGUGAUGACGAGGCACUACGGUGCUGAAGCAACAAAUGCCCUGCUUCCAGGAAAAGCCUCUAAGCAUCAGGUAACAUCAAAUCGUACCCCAAACCGACACAGGUGGUCAGGUAGAGAAUACCAAGGCGCUUGAGAGAACUCGGGUGAAGGAACUAGGCAAAAUGGUGCCGUAACUUCGGGAGAAGGCACGCUGACACGUAGGUGAAGUGAUUUACUCACGGAGCUGAAGUCAGUCGAAGAUACCAGCUGGCUGCAACUGUUUAUUAAAAACACAGCACUGUGCAAACACGAAAGUGGACGUAUACGGUGUGACGCCUGCCCGGUGCCGGAAGGUUAAUUGAUGGGGUCAGCGCAAGCGAAGCUCCUGAUCGAAGCCCCGGUAAACGGCGGCCGUAACUAUAACGGUCCUAAGGUAGCGAAAUUCCUUGUCGGGUAAGUUCCGACCUGCACGAAUGGCGUAAUGAUGGCCAGGCUGUCUCCACCCGAGACUCAGUGAAAUUGAACUCGCUGUGAAGAUGCAGUGUACCCGCGGCAAGACGGAAAGACCCCGUGAACCUUUACUAUAGCUUGACACUGAACAUUGAGCCUUGAUGUGUAGGAUAGGUGGGAGGCUUUGAAGUGUGGACGCCAGUCUGCAUGGAGCCGACCUUGAAAUACCACCCUUUAAUGUUUGAUGUUCUAACGUGGACCCGUAAUCCGGGUUGCGGACAGUGUCUGGUGGGUAGUUUGACUGGGGCGGUCUCCUCCUAAAGAGUAACGGAGGAGCACGAAGGUUGGCUAAUCCUGGUCGGACAUCAGGAGGUUAGUGCAAUGGCAUAAGCCAGCUUGACUGCGAGCGUGACGGCGCGAGCAGGUGCGAAAGCAGGUCAUAGUGAUCCGGUGGUUCUGAAUGGAAGGGCCAUCGCUCAACGGAUAAAAGGUACUCCGGGGAUAACAGGCUGAUACCGCCCAAGAGUUCAUAUCGACGGCGGUGUUUGGCACCUCGAUGUCGGCUCAUCACAUCCUGGGGCUGAAGUAGGUCCCAAGGGUAUGGCUGUUCGCCAUUUAAAGUGGUACGCGAGCUGGGUUUAGAACGUCGUGAGACAGUUCGGUCCCUAUCUGCCGUGGGCGCUGGAGAACUGAGGGGGGCUGCUCCUAGUACGAGAGGACCGGAGUGGACGCAUCACUGGUGUUCGGGUUGUCAUGCCAAUGGCACUGCCCGGUAGCUAAAUGCGGAAGAGAUAAGUGCUGAAAGCAUCUAAGCACGAAACUUGCCCCGAGAUGAGUUCUCCCUGAGACUUUAGGUCUCCUGAAGGAACGUUGAAGACGACGACGUUGAUAGGCCGGGUGUGUAAGCGCAGCGAUGCGUUGAGCUAACCGGUACUAAUGAACCGUGAGGCUUAACCUUACAACGCCGAAG